GUGGCGAACGGGUGAGUAACACGUGAGCAAUCUGCCCCUGACUCUGGGAUAACAGUUGGAAACAGCUGCUAAUACCGGAUAUGAGACGUGACCGCAUGGUCGACGUUUGGAAAGAAUUUCGGUCAGGGAUGAGCUCGCGGCCUAUCAGCUUGUUGGUGAGGUAAUGGCUCACCAAGGCGUCGACGGGUAGCCGGCCUGAGAGGGUGACCGGCCACACUGGGACUGAGACACGGCCCAGACUCCUACGGGAGGCAGCAGUGGGGAAUAUUGCACAAUGGGCGAAAGCCUGAUGCAGCAACGCCGCGUGAGGGACGACGGCCUUCGGGUUGUAAACCUCUUUUAGCAGGGAAGAAGCGAAAGUGACGGUACCUGCAGAAAAAGCGCCGGCUAACUACGUGCCAGCAGCCGCGGUAAUACGUAGGGCGCAAGCGUUAUCCGGAAUUAUUGGGCGUAAAGAGCUCGUAGGCGGUUUGUCGCGUCUGCUGUGAAAACUGGAGGCUCAACCUCCAGCCUGCAGUGGGUACGGGCAGACUAGAGUGCGGUAGGGGAGAUUGGAAUUCCUGGUGUAGCGGUGGAAUGCGCAGAUAUCANGAGGAACACCGAUGGCGAAGGCAGAUCUCUGGGCCGUAACUGACGCUGAGGAGCGAAAGGGUGGGGAGCAAACAGGCUUAGAUACCCUGGUA
rnacentral:rRNA from 1 species